UACGGGGGGGGGCAAGCGUUGUUCGGAAUUACUGGGCGUAAAGGGCUCGUAGGUGGCCAACUAAGUCAGACGUGAAAUCCUUCAGCUUAACUGGGGAACUGCGUCUGAUACUGGAUGGCUUGAGUUUGGGAGAGGGAUGCGGAAUUCCAGGUGUAGCGGUGAAAUGCGUAGAUAUUGGGAAGAACACCGGUGGCGAAGGCGGCGACCUGGUCCGUGACUGACGCUGAGGCGCGAAAGCGUGGGGAGCAAACAGG
rnacentral:rRNA from 1 species